rnacentral:lncRNA from 1 species
CCUGAUUUCACCAUCAUGGGUGGUGUCAUUGUUGCCAUUAACUUAGCUUUAAAAUUUGUAAAGCAUGAAAAGUUUAGAAUUAGACAGACUUUCUCCCCUAGGCUUUUGAUAAGCAGGCCUCAGUACCACAGGAUGACAGCAUUGGAAAGCAUUCAAAUGAACAAAAUAUUGAAAAGAGUCCUUUGAACAACUGAAGAACUGCUCCUGUCUUCAGCCGUUAGGAGGAGGACAUGGAAGCACAACUCUGCACUCCUGUACUGGCAUCCUUCACUUCCUGUGCAACAGAGGCAGAUGCUUAGUCCAUUUCACCAUAGCAAGGUACCUGUCAUCAUUUCAGUCCCUGCUCCCUUUGCUCUGACAAACUUCUGCAUGAGGCACCGACACGUGCAAUCAAUCUUAUGUCCUUUCAAGGUGGGCUCUUGCUUAAAUUUCAGUCCCAAAAUGCCUGACACAGUUACUUUUUGAGAUGGACUUAGAAUUGCUUCUGAAAAGUCUCCAGUGUAGUCUCCAUCUGUGACUGAGUUCAUUAAAGAAGUUAUUGAGCUCGCUUACCAAUGACAAGGGGAACUUCAUACUGCGAUGAAUUUGCAUGAUGACUGUGUUUUGACUUACUGACUUGAAUUUUUUCCCUGCGUCACACUCCUGAAUGACCUGUAACAUAACACAGAAAUCUGAUCUUUUCAUUCUCAUCUUUUUUGUAUUGUAUUUACAUGGUUAUUUAAAAUGUAGGAAAUUAUUGUUUUUACUAAAUAACCCCAAAAGCAGUAAGAAUAAAU